GCCGUAUCGUAUAGAUCGGGAUACUCAUCAAAAUAAUACGGAAAACCGAGAAGACUUCUCUUGUUGAUGGCGGGCCAUAUAAAGUUUUUCGAACCUAAGCUGUAAAGCCGGUGGAUUACAAAGACGGAGAGUUCUCAAAUCAUUUCAGCUCGGAGUUUCAUCACAUCAUCGGUACGGCCUUUUU
rnacentral:sRNA from 1 species